GGCGUCCUCCAAUCACUAUCCUUCCUGCACUGUUGCAGAGGCUCAGUGGCCAGAUUUCAGCCUAUGCCAGGCCACACCACGCCUCCAAUCCCAAGUGAGGGGCGGGGAAAGCAGCUAUCUUCACAUGCCUGCUACUCUGCUCCCGAGGGGCAUUUUCACAGAGUUCCACAGCUGGCCUGGAUAACUUCGAAGAACUUCAUCAUGCCACAAGCUUUCCUACCAGCUACUUAAAUCUAUUCUCUGUUGUAUACUAGGGAAAUCCUGAUCAUUAUUAACGGGUUCUGAAUAAUUCUGUUCACACUAAUCUCAAUGUGUUUUAUUUCUUUUCAUUUUGAUUUUUCAGUACAUCUUUUUGGUUAUUUUCCUCUGAGUUGCCUGUGACUCAAGUGUGUGCCAGAUGUCUUAUCAGUCCAGAAGAGGGCUGGAUUCUCCUGGAAUCGAUGGCUGUGAGCAAUGUGCUGGGAAUCAAUCCCUGUUGUUUGAGGAAAUGUUCUUAACUAUAUGGUGUCAGAGGUGAGAAAAAAAUAUGACUGAAAGAAAGAUGAAAUUUCAAGACCUGUAAGUCAUAGAACG
rnacentral:lncRNA from 1 species